AGGACGAACGCUGGCGGCGUGCUUAACACAUGCAAGUCGAGCGGACAUCUUCGGAUGUUAGCGGCGAACGGGUGAGUAACACGUGGGCAACCUGCCCCUAGCUCUGGGAUAACUCCGGGAAACCGGGGCUAAUACUGGAUAUGACCGAUCCAUGCAUGUGGGUUGGUGGAAAGUUUUUUCGGCUAGGGAUGGGCCCGCGGCCUAUCAGCUUGUUGGUGGGGUGAUGGCCUACCAAGGCGACGACGGGUA
rnacentral:rRNA from 1 species